CAACUAACAGGAUUCCCUUAGUAACGGCGAGUGAACAGGGAAAAGCCCAGCACCGAAGCCUGUGGCCAAUUGGUUACUAGGCAAUGUGGUGUUUAGGUCGUCUCCUGAAGGUACUGACCCACCUUAAGUCCAGCAAUGAGUACGGUAAAUUGGACAUGGCCCAUAGAGGGUGAAAGGCCCGUGAAGGUGGGGAACAGUUGAGACAGUGCCUUCCUGAGUAGACCUUGGAGUCGGGUUGUUUGAGAAUGCAGCCCAAAGUGGGUGGUAAACUCCAUCCAAGGCUAAAUACUAACACGAGUCCGAUAGCGAACAAGUACCGUGAGGGAAAGUUGAAAAGUACUUUGAAGAGAGAGUAAACAGUGCGUGAAACCGCUCAGAGGUAAACGGGUGGAGUUGAACUGCAAUCCUCGAGGAUUCAGCUGAUGAGGGUGGUAUGGUAUUGGUCAUUCUGGUUGGCUUUCGGAGUCUGCUUAGUUGGCAGGCCUUCACUUCGGUGGAGGUGCGCUCUGCGCCUUACAAGCGUUGCGCGCUCUGGGAGUUUCCGGGCCUCCUCAUCAGUGCACUUUCUCGGGGUGUUCACCACGACCGGCGUUGCUGUCUGUCUACUUCAGUCAAACCGUUCAUUCAUUGUCCUUGUGGCUUUGUUUGGUCGGGAUGGCAGGUAGCCUGUGAGGUCUUUUGAUCUUACGGGUGUAAUCAGCUGACUGUUGUGGAACUGUGCAGUGCGUCGGAGAUGGCGGCUACGGCGUUCUUGUGUGCUUAUUCGUUGGUGGUUGUGAGUCUGACUGUAUUGUUGCUCCUCAAAGAGCCUUACGGUGGCUUGUGGCUAUUGGCGGGUAGUUGCACUUGACGUCAUUCAGGGCCUAAAGUCUGUGGUGUGGUGGUAAACUAUCUACCCGACCCGUCUUGAAACACGGACCAAGGAGUUUAACAUGUGCGCGAGUCAUUGGGCAUUACGAAACCCACAGGCGAAGUGAAAGUAAAGGUUCGGCUUGUCUGAACUGAGGUGAGAUCCCGCUGUAUCCCUUGCUCGGUAUCACCAAGCUCAGAGCAGUGGGCGCAUCACCGGCCCGUCCCAUGGCGUGGUUAUGUGUCUUCGGGCAUGUGCACCGUCGGGGCGGAGCAUGAGCGCACACGUUGAGACCCGAAAGAUGGUGAACUAUGCUUGCGCAGGUUGAAGCCAGAGGAAACUCUGGUGGAGGACCGCAGCGAUUCUGACGUGCAAAUCGAUCGUCAAACGUGAGUAAGGGGCGAAA
rnacentral:rRNA from 1 species